UACGUAGGGACCAAGCGUUGUUCGGAUUUAUUGGGCGUAAAGAGCUCGUAGGUGGUUUGGUAAGUCGGAUGUGAAAUCUCCAGGCUCAACCUGGAGGGGUCAUUCGAGACUGCUAUGACUAGAGUUCGGUAGAGGAGUGUGGAAUUCCUGGUGGAGCGGUGAAAUGCGCAGAUAUCAGGAGGAACACCCGUAGCGAAGGCGGCACUCUGGGCCGAUACUGACACUGAGGAGCGAAAGCGUGGGGAGCGAACAGG
rnacentral:rRNA from 1 species